ACGCGGAGAUGAAGAGAGAGAAGUUUGCCUGCGGCGCAGUCCACUGAACACUUACUGUAUUUCAUUUGGGGAACAGCAACAAGAGCCUGCGGAGAAGCUUUCCAGGGAAUGCUGAGGAAUAUCCGCCUGCACAGAAAAAAAAAGCACCUCUCACAGCUGACUUUUCCCUCUUCUGAGAACAUUGAUAUUCAGUCAUCAUUCAUGUCGCCAAAGUAAGUGGGAAGCUCGGGUCAGUAGGACAGCGGUCGGACGCGGACUGUUUGUCUGUCGCGAGGGGGCUUUUAUAAAGAUUGUGGUCCUGGAGAAGAAGGACGGAGCCACACAGAAGCGCAAGACGAAAGAAGAAGAGGAAGAAACAGAAGAUAGUCCUCAACGCGAAGGUGAAAAGAGAGCCCGACUCAGGAUGAAUAACAACAAAACCGAGAAGGAAAACGAGCAGAGUGAAUUCACCAACCACGAAGAGGAGGUCCGAACGCUAUUUGUCAGCGGGCUUCCAUUGGAUAUUAAGCCCCGGGAGCUCUAUCUCCUGUUCAGACCAUUUAAGGGCUAUGAAGGCUCCUUGAUAAAACUCACCUCGAAACAGCCGGUGGGGUUUGUCAGCUUUGACAGUCGAUCAGAGGCGGAGGCUGCUAAGAAUGCCUUGAACGGGGUUCGGUUUGAUCCAGAGAUCCCUCAGACCCUGCGGCUGGAGUUCGCCAAAGCCAACACCAAGAUGGCCAAGAACAAACUGGUUGGCACCCCCAACCCCCCUCCGUCCCAGCAGAGCCCCGGGCCACAGUUCAUCGGCAGAGACCCAUAUGAGCUCACAGUGCCUGCUCUAUAUCCCAGCAGCCCAGACGUGUGGGCAUCAUACCCACUGUACCCGGCGGAGCUGUCGCCGGCCCUCCCACCCGCUUUCACCUACCCCUCCUCGCUCCACGCUCAGAUUCGCUGGCUCCCACCUGCAGAUGGAACUCCUCAGGGAUGGAAGUCCAGGCAGUUCUGCUGAAGUAUGUGUUCCUGAUGUGUGAUGGUGGCCGUGGCCGGCUGUGACGGGUGUUUGCUGAUUGCCUCUCAUGUCCAAUUAGGAAACCAGGAGGACGGAGCUGACUCCAGAUCUCGGAGCAGCGUACCGUCGGCAGCAGCAGCCUCAUGGGCCUCAGGACAUACUAGACCUCAGCCUCCAUCACACAUCGAGCACCCCCCCACCCUCCCCGCAAAAAAGCCCCUCCAACUCUUUUUUAUACUGUUACAUACUCGAGAUGUACCGGCAGCGCUUUGGCCACGCCUCCUCUGACACUUAAAAAGGUACCACAACAAAGGCGCAGGCACCCCUUUGUGACUGCAUCCCCCUGGUUAGCAGGCCUCUUGCUGUGCAUCGUGUAUAUGCAAGUGUAACGACAAUAUAUGCAGGAACUUUGUGAGGCCAGACUUCCGGAGGUGUCACCAAAGCGCUGCCGGGUAAUGUUAUUAUAUGACUACAAUUAUUACUAUUCUGUAUAUCAUUCAUAUUAAUGUUAUUAUGAUUAUUAAAUACAUGUUGAAGCAUGACUUUGCAAAAAAAGGCGAAAAAAAACAAUGCUGUACAUUUUUAGAUAUUUUAAAGAAAUACAAAAAAGUAUUUUUGUAAUCAAGACAAUGUUUGAAAUGUUUGAUUGGUUCAUGUCGUGUGAGAAACUUUCAUACGUGUUUAUUCUUGUUGUCCUUUUUAUUUGUGCCAUGUUAGAUGCUAAGUCGUCCUGCUAAACCAAAGCAGCCCUGAUGGUUUGCUCUUGUCUUUUCUGCACACUGUGUCUUUGUGUGGUGUCUCUACCUGAAGAAGCCAAGAUAUAAGUCCUUUAGGAUGUGCAGCCGGAUCCAAAUCCUACUUUUUUUGCAGUUUGCAGGUAAUGAAAUGUGUAAAGAAAAGAAAAGAAAUAGGUAUUGACAAGAAGAAGCCAUCGCCGGUGAAGGCAGAGUGACCCCGAAGACUGCAAAACACGGCAAACUGAGCCCUGCUAUAAAAAGAAAUGUGCUUCUUCAUUGUUCAGCGGGAGGACAGCAGCACAGUAUAGAGAAACAAAAGACCAAAGGCGUUUUAUUUUUUACACUGGAGAGCUAUCUAGGCUAGUGGAAUUAUUCCGUUUCUGACUGCUUUGUACUCCUCAAUCUGAUUUCUUCUGAAGUAUGACAUUAUUUUUGCUGCAUGUCUCUUUUGGUGUCACUCCAAAGAGCCACUCUGCAUCUGAAAGGAUAGUCACUUAAAGCAAUUUGUCCCUUUCUUCUAUUUUUAGGGAGCCAACCUGCUUCGUCUUCUUUUUUUUUUCUUUCUUUUUUUUUUUUGGAGAAAUUUUCAAUUUGCAUAACAAUGAUUAGAGUGUUAAAAAAAAAUCGUCUUUUGUAAUCUUGCCUCCUCUGGGCCUGCAAUAACGUCUUUGCUGUUUGACAUAUCAUGGAGUGAUCAUAUUCCUGUGACAUUUUGACGCCAAAUUUCUCAUUCAUGUCACAUUCUUACAAAAACAAACACUGAUUCUUGUACUUUUCUGAUGAGGCUAAGUCACAUUCGGCAGUGAUGUGACAAUCAAAAACUGAAAAACAAUCUUUCCUGUAAUCUUUUGCCCGGGUGUGUACAAUCAUAUUGGAGUGGUUGAAGAAUAUAGUCAGUGUUUGUAAUGAAUAAUAAUAAUAUGCACAUACUUUCAACUAAUUCUCUGAAGCAGUUUUUGCUUUUAAAGACAUUUUUUAAAGCCAAGUGUGGCACCAAAUUUAUUAGAACAAGUAUUUAUAAGGUGUGUGCGUGCGUGUGUUUUUAUGGGUUUUUAAAGUUAAUAGAAGAUGCCCAUUAUAUAAUUCAUUGUAAGUAUUAAUGUAAGUUUAAUUGUAUAUUCAUUUGGUAAUUUUCUAGAGCUCCUCUGUGUGUUUGUAUCUGAUAUAUAAAUGCUGUUUUACCUACAUAACUCACUGUGAAAUCCAGAGAAAAACAUUGCUCUUGGAACGAAUGGAUCUCUGUGUGUGUUGCCAGCAGUACGGUACAGAAGUUUCUGGAAAUUAAUCUGAUGAUCCCUCCCUUUUGUGGAUGAGAAAUUUUCCUUUCUCGUUUCAGUAUACCAUGUGCGUACCUGUGUGUUCUGUGCAUGUUCACAGCAUGUGUGUUCUUUUCUUUUUUCUUAAUGCAUAGUACUGUUGAUAUUUAUGUACUUCAACCCCUGUGAGGAGAAACUGUAUUUCAGUGAAUUGCAGAGGUUUGUUUGUUUGAAACCAAAAAAAAGAGGUGAUCAAAAUGAGAAGUUUUUAUGAAAAUGUUAAAUGAAGACAUUUCAGGCCAUCUGCCAUUAAAGAUUGACAUCAUCCUU